AAACACAGACAGAGAUCCUUCCAUGCAGAUGCCCUGCACCGUAGCAGAGUUGAGCUGAUCAUCAUCUCUAAGGCGCUAUCACCAUUAUGAUUAGAUGCUCAGCAAGUUCACUAGAGAUUACAGCAGCUCCGUGUGGAUCCAGCCUCACUCGUGAAGACUUCAGAUGACACCAACACUCACAAAGACUUCAGAUGGUGGCAACUAUAGAUGGACACAAAACUGCCAGAUAUUGCAUUGGCCCGGUUUCACACACAGGGUUCAGAUUAAACCAGGUUUAGGCCUUCGUUAAAUUAGGAUAUUUAAGUAGCUUUUUAAAAUGUACUUCAGAAAAAAAAAGAAGGAAAAAAAAAACAUUACUGGUGUGCAUCUCUUGAGACAAACCAGUGACAUUGAAAUAUUUUAAGAUAUGUCUGUGCAAGUUGCUUCCAGUUAAGACAGUUCAAAAAUGCAUUUUAGUCUGGGACUAUCUUAAGCCUUUUCUGUGGAACCAGGGAAGGGAAGGGAACGUUUGCAUGACAGUUUUGCUGACAAAUAAACAGGAAUAUCUUAGUAUACCUAACUAGGAGAAAGAGUAAACAUUGU